rnacentral:snRNA from 1 species
AGACAUGAGGGUGAUCUGUAUGGAACUUUUGUCACCCCCACUGAUCACCCACGGUUGAUUUGCCUGAUGUGGCUGGCUAGGCGGAUGGCUCCUUCCUCCCUCACCACUCUACGUGCACCCCUCCUAAAGCUGUGUGCUUGGUUGAAGGGGAUGAACUGCCCCUAAACAGAGUCGGUCAGGGUGUACAAGUAGCUGCAUUCCUCUACUAGAACCUUCAAACUGGCUCAACUGCAGGGCCUGAUCUGUGAUCUGUAGUAUACUACCCAGCCCUGUGAUGUGACUGCUGCU